ensembl:lncRNA
CUCAAUUAUAUUUUAAUAUGGUUUAGAAACACUAGGAAGUGUUAAUGACUGUGAUAUAGAUCAACAUGUCAUGAAUUUGACACUUCUGCUCCAGGAUAUCUAAUUUAAAUUGUCCAAGAGGAGUUAAUAUGGGCCUGGAACUCAAGAGGCUAAGACUUUUUUAAAUGAAUGGGAGGGGAUGAAGUACUCAUAGAAAAGGAAGUGUCAGAGGCAUUGUGUUAAAAAGACAGGAAGACUUAGAUCAACUAGUGGGAAGAGAGAGAAAAAGAGAGGAAGGAAGGAAGGAAGGAAGGAAGGAAGGAAGGAAGGAAGGAAGGAAGGAAGGAAGGAAGGAAGGAAGGAAGGAAGGAAGGAAGGAAGGAAGGAAGGAAGGAAGGAAGGAAGGAAGGAAGGAAGGAAGGAAGGAAGGAAGGAAGGAAGGAAGGAAGGAAGGAAGGAAGGAAGGAAGGAAGGAAGAUAGAAACAGAAAAAG